UACAGAGGGGGCAAGCGUUAUUCGGAAUUAUUGAGCGUAAAGGGCGCGUAGGCGGCUUGGCAAGUGGAAGGUGAAAUCCCUCGGCUUAACCGAGGAACUGCCCUCCAAACUGCUUUGCUUGAGGCCGGGAGAGGUGAGUGGAAUUCCCAGUGUAGCGGUGAAAUGCGUAGAUAUUGGGAGGAACACCAGUGGCGAAGGCGGCUCACUGGACCGGUUCUGACGCUGAUGCGCGAAAGCGUGGGGAGCAAACGGG
rnacentral:rRNA from 1 species